rnacentral:rRNA from 1 species
GUAGUCAUAUGCUUGUCUCAAAGAUUAAGCCAUGCAUGUCUAAGUAUAAGCAAUUAUACAGCGAAACUGCGAAUGGCUCAUUAAAUCAGUUAUCGUUUAUUUGAUAGUACCUUACUACUUGGAUAACCGUGGUAAUUCUAGAGCUAAUACAUGCUAAAAACCCCGACUCACGAAGGGGUGUAUUUAUUAGAUUAAAAGCCAAUGCCCUUCGGGGCUCACUGGUGAUUCAUAAUAACUUGUCGAAUCGCAUGGCCUUGCGCCGGCGAUGGUUCAUUCAAAUUUCUGCCCUAUCAACUUUCGACGGCUGGGCCUUGGCCAGCCAUGGUGACAACGGGUAACGGAGGGUUAGGGCUCGACCCCGGAGAACGAGCCUGAGAAACGGCUAUUACAUCCAAGGAAGGCAGCAGGCGCGCAAAUUACCCAAUACCAACUCGGUGAGGUAGUGACGAUAAAUACUGAUACUGGGCUCUUUUGGGUCUUGUAAUUGGAAUGAGUACAAUUUAAAUCCCUUAACGAGGAACAAUUGGAGGGCAAGUCUGGUGCCAGCAGCC